AAUAUUUUAAUAAUUAUGAACCAACAGUUUAUAAACAGCGGAAUUUAAACGAGCGGAAGAAACAAUUAAAACCAUUUAAAUCUUUCCAAUACAAUUUCUUAAACAAAUACUACCCAGAACUGGUGUCACAACUUCACAGACGGUCUAGGAAUACUACAAACAAGGUCUGAAAAGUAAAUACAACACUCUUUCUGAAAUACGUAAAUAAAACGGGAAGAAAGGAUAGAGGUAGACGCCAGGGCCUGCGGACGCCUGUAGGACUACCUUGGAUCUCCGAAUGGACUGAAGGCAGCCACCCCAAGCUAAGGUCCAAAAGCUGCUGCGCGGGGAUCUGCACACAGUGCAAAGUGUAGUAUCAGCACAACCGACCCCAUGUGAUGGUAAGUGCUUAGCCUAACCUCGACGAAAUAGUGACGAGGCUAGGACCAUACUACCAAAUAAACCUGUGCAGUUAAAUCAUAUACAUCAAAAAAUAAAAGCAGGAAUGCACAGUUUAGAAUGGGAGGGGGAAAACAUGUUGCGGGAAAACAUUAAAUGAUAAUAGAAUGACAGCAGGUAAAUACAAGGAACGCCAUAACUCAAGUAUCAACAAGAAUUAGAAAUCAAACAAGUGCACGACAUCACCCUUCGUGCUUUUACUCUCGUCCUCACCAUAAGAAUCAAUAUAAACUACACGGCAUCACCCUUCGUGCUUUUACUCUCGUCCUCAUCAUAAAGUCAAUAUCAUCGGCACGGAAUUGUAUAUCAUGCGGCACGACAUCACCCUUCGUGCUUUUACACUCUUCCUCACAAAAUCAUACACGGCAUCACACUUCGUGCUUUAACACUCUCUCACCAAAACAAUGCACGGCAUCACCCUUCGUGUUUUAAAACUCUUUCUCACCCAAACAACAAUCACAAAUAAUAAGGGCAAGGAAAUAAAUAAAAUCACAAUAAAAUUCCGGCAAGGAAAUAAUAGUUCAAAAAUCAAAUCUCGGCAAGGGAACAAUAUCAAAAGUAUCAACAUCCCGGCAAGGGAGAUAGCAUUAAAAGCAACAACAUCCCGGCAAGGGAGAAAAUAUAAUAAUUCUCUUCUCUUUUUACUUCACAACUCACUUCACAACUUGAGCCAAUGCUCUAUAAGGUUCAAUUGCCAAUUAUACCUCCACAAUUCAUUAUACAACUUGAGCCAACGCUCCUCAAUGUUCAAAUAUCACUAUUACUUCCACAAGUUUUGCUCAACAACAUUAAUCAUCACAUAAGGCAUGAACAAUACAAACAGAAUCACAUUGGUCAUAGAAUAAGACUCACGGGCAUGCUUGACACUAACGUAUAGAUACUCGUCACCAUGCCUAUACAUCGUACUCAACAAAUAACACAUAACAAAUAGGUCACAACUCCUAAUCUGUCAAGCUAAAGUUAGACCAAACACUUACCUCGAUGCUACGAACACAAUUCAAGUCUCAACUAUCGCUUUACCUCUUGAUUCCACCACCAAUUCGCUCGUAUCUAGCCACAAGUUACUAAACUAUUUCAAUAAAUGCUAAAUGAAUCAAUUCGAAUGCAUGAAAAUAGGUUUUCUAAAGUUUUUCCCAAAAAGUCAAAAAUCACCCUUAACCCUACAUGGUCAAAACGCGAGGUUCGAACCAAAACUCGAUUACCCAUUCCCCUACAAACCUAGAUAUAUAAUUUGUUUUGAAAUCGGACCUCAAAUCGAGGUCCAAAUCCCCAAAAUUUGAAAAACCUAGGUUCUACCAAAAACACUCUUUUUCCUCCAUGAAAACCUUUGAUUUUGAGUUGAAAUCAUGAGAAAAGAUGUUAAAGAUUGAUGAAAAUAAGUUAGAAAUGACUUACAAUUGAUUAGGAAGAGUACUUGUCUUUAAAAAAUUGCCCAAGAGUGUUUUGGUUUUGAAAGGGUUUGAAAAAUGGUUGAAAUGCGUCUAAGUUAUGAUUUUGCAGGUUGCAGGUGCCGCAAUUGCGAACCCUUCAGACUGCUACUCUCGCAUGUGCGACUAAUGUUCGCAAUUGCGAACUCGCUUUUGCGAUGAAAUUGUCGCAUUUGCGACACUGAAGGAUUCCAUGCCACUUCGCUUUUGCGAUUGGCCUUUCACAUUUGCGACAUCGCUUUUGCGAUGACUAUGUCGCAUUUGCGACCCCAAGACAGACCAGGUCUUUUCGCAUUUGCGAGCUAGGCUUCGUACGACCUGCAACAUACCAGCUAAAAACCUGCAACAUCCUAAGUUAAAUUCCACUCCGUGGCCUAUCCAAAACUCACCCGAGCCAUCGGGACUCCAAACCAAACAUGCACACUAACCCAAAAAUAUCAUACGGACUUGCUCGUGCAAUCAAAUUAUGAAAUUAACAUGCAAAACUAUGAAUUAAACCCCAAAACUUAUCAUUUUUAUCAAGAACAUUUUAAAGUUCAUAACUCUUCGACCGGAGGUCCAAAUCACGUCAAAUAAACUCCAUUUUUCACCAAAUUUCACAGUUAUCAUUUAAAUACUACAACAAGUUUGUACCGGGCUCCGGAACCAAAAAUACAGGCCAUAGAGACCAAUGGUUUCACACAUUAAUUCUUUUCUUUAUUUCAUAAAUAAUUCAGCAAAAUAAUUUCUUUCAAAAAUUGAUUUCUAAAGCUUGGGACCUCUGAAUUCAUUUCUGGGCAUAUGCCCAAGUCCCAUAUUUUACUGCGGACCACCCCAGAUCGUCAGAAUACAGAUCCGGGUCUGUUUGCUCAAAAUGUUGACCAAAGUCAACCAUAAUCAGAUUUUUAACUCUAGAAAUUUCUAUUUCUCAUAUUUUCACAUAAAAGGCUUUCCGGAUAUAGGUCCGAACAACGCAUGCAAAUCGAGGUGAAGUAAAAAUGAGAUUUUAAGGCAUCAGAACAUAGGAUUUGUUUCUAAAACAAGUGAUGACCUUUCGGGUCAUCACAUCUAAUUUAUAAUCUCGUUGUUCUAAUCUCAGCUUUGAGAUUUAUGACAGCAUACAUGUGCUGAUACAUCAGAUUUCUUGUUAUAACCCAGCAAAUUCAAUUUCAAGGAAGAAUUUCGACUCUCCUAGUUUUUUUAUCUUGAAAUUUUGGUGUAUUACCUCUUUGCUUCUUCAACCAUUCUGUUAUCGUUCGUGUGGUCAAUAAGUUAUUGACAUAUAAGGAUCACAAGUUCACAACUAUAUUAUUGUCAUGUCUAGUGAACAAAAAGCAAUAUAAGAAAUAAAUCUCUCAAAAAAUACAAGUGGCAUUACUAUAUUAUUUCCAUAACUUAGAUGAACAUUUAAUUAAAUCAAUUCCAAAAGUAUAACUUUAUUUUUUCAUUAACAAAGUAUUAAUUAAAUUGGUACAUUAAAAUUGAGCAAAAAAUAAACUUCCAUUUGAAAUUCACAUCAUAAAGCAGUACAAUGAAAAGUGCCAAUCACUGCUUACGAAAAUAAAGAAUGUUAUGUCACUAUAGAAUAACAACCAAGGAAAUUCACCCAAGAAAUAGAAAAUUGUUAAGAGAUCUCAAACAAAAAAUAGAAGAAGAAGAAGAAGAGAGCAAAAACUGAGAAAUAAUCAUACCUGAAAUGGUAUUCUUCAAAUUCUGAAGAAGAAAUUCUGAAGAAGAAGAAGAACUCAAAGGCCGUAGUUAUGAUGGAACAGAGGAGAGAUGUUUCUAGACCCUCGUUUGUGUCGAAAUAGCGAGCAUCGUUAAAAUUAGAAGUAGGGAAAAAAUAAAAUGGCAAGGUAAAAUGACAAUUUUGCUCUUGAUAAAAUAAAUAUAAACAUAAUCUCAAAACCUAGCUUUAAAGAUUCAAGUUCUGGUUGUUGGAUAGUGGUUGCGUCACU
rnacentral:lncRNA from 1 species